rnacentral:rRNA from 1 species
UACGAAGGGGGCUAGCGUUGCUCGGAAUCACUGGGCGUAAAGCGCACGUAGGCGGACUCUUAAGUCGGUGGUGAAAUCCUGGAGCUCAACUCCAGAACUGCCUUCGAUACUGAGAGUCUCGAGUCCGGGAGAGGUGAGUGGAACUGCGAGUGUAGAGGUGAAAUUCGUAGAUAUUCGCAAGAACACCAGUGGCGAAGGCGGCUCACUGGCCCGGUACUGACGCUGAGGUGCGAAAGCGUGGGGAGAAAACAGG